AGUCGUGCGGUGCGUAUGGACGUUAGUCUUGUAGAAUUACGCCGGAGGUGGAUUCUAAAGUUGAAAUACGUAGUCAGGGUAACCGGGAAGGUCGAAUCGUUGGGAAACGGCGCGAGGUGUUACACAAUUCAAGAUCUCCAAGACUGUCAGUCGUCGGAGUUCGCCGGCGUAUGGACAUAGCGACAACGACGCGCCAAGUGCAGUGAAUUGAAUUUAGAGAAAUUCACCUCGUGCGUUAUAACAAUUGGAUACGCUCUAUCGGCAAUUGUUUGAAUGAUAUGAAUGGACUACGGUAGUACCAGCUGGAUUGGGGUGUGUUGCCCUCGGGUACUACCGCACACACCAUUGUGAUUAAUCAUCGGAAUCAACUUUGCGAGUUGCGACAGUUACCUAUUCCUUUCAAUGUAUGGGUUGUGUUUACGGUGAAAUAUGGUAAUGAAAUAUGCAACAAGAAUUAAGUGAAGUGCUUGCUUUCCUUACAAAAAUAUUGCCAACCCAGAGCUAAUGAAAGGUGUAUGUGAGGUGGAAGAAGGAAAAGAAACAAGAUACAAAAGCUAUCAACGGUCACACGUACACAUCUACACAGCGCUCGUAGACUUCCAGCAGACUUAGCUUAAGUUCCAGCGUCCGACAAUGACGGCGAGGCUGAGUUCCUUGUCCAUGGCGAUCCUUUGCUGGAUAACAAUUUUAGACCGGGUACGAUUUCGGAAGGUUCCGAGCCUGCAGAUUCUGCCUUCGGCAUCCAACCAGCAGAAUCCUGUAGGUGCCUUGCUGCUACUGACGUGAGGAUGUCCCAGAUGAUGCACUGAUUUACAAUCUGCGUUGGAGUAGCAUCGUAACAUGACGACGAAAAAUGGCCAUCACGUGGAAGGAUGCACUGGAGGAUCUGCAGCCAAUCCUGGGUGACCACGACAUCCACCGGAAAUCGUGGUUUAGAUCCACAAUGGAGAUCCGUGCACAAACUCCACCUUGAGGUAUCUCCAACACUUGAUCGGCAGCGCAAGCAGAAGACGAUCUGCCGUGUUGAAAAGAGCAAAGAGAGGACUAGGAAGACUCCUAUGAGUUCCAAAAAAUCACUAGGGACGUGGCGUUACAUCGUGCUGCCAUCUGGUUUUUCUAAGUGCAAGAGUGGAAAAGUGCUGAGUCAUCGUCUAAAAAUAGACGGCGUCCUAUCUCGCCCAGCAAAAUGAAGUCGAUAAAGUAGUCGGUUUCGAUGAGAAAAAGUGGAAAAUGUGGUCUAAAAAUAGCGACGCCAUCCCCCUAUGGGAUGUCUUGGUGAAGAGAUGGAAUGUCAUGUUAUGUUUUGGAUGUUAUACUUUUUUCAAAUAAUCAUUACAAAACUUGUAUAAAAUCAAAUUAAACUCUCAAAUUUCAAAUAAGUGACUUCAUUCCUUGACCUUAAAAAAUGUUUGUUGGGCAAA